rnacentral:rRNA from 1 species
GAGCGACAGACGAGGAGCUUGCUCCUCUGACGUUAGCGGCGGACGGGUGAGUAACACGUGGAUAACCUACCUAUAAGACUGGGAUAACUUCGGGAAACCGGAGCUAAUACCGGAUAACAUGUUGAACCGCAUGGUUCAACAGUGAAAGACGGUCUUGCUGUCACUUAUAGAUGGAUCCGCGCCGCAUUAGCUAGUUGGUAAGGUAACGGCUUACCAAGGCAACGAUGCGUAGCCGACCUGAGAGGGUGAUCGGCCACACUGGAACUGAGACACGGUCCAGACUCCUACGGGAGGCAGCAGUAGGGAAUCUUCCGCAAUGGGCGAAAGCCUGACGGAGCAACGCCGCGUGAGUGAAGAAGGUCUUCGGAUCGUAAAACUCUGUUAUUAGGGAAGAACAAAUGUGUAAGUAACUAUGCACGUCUUGACGGUACCUAAUCAGAAAGCCACGGCUAACUACGUGCCAGCAGCCGCGGUAAUACGUAGGUGGCAAGCGUUAUCCGGAAUUAUUGGGCGUAAAGCGCGCGUAGGCGGUUUUUUAAGUCUGAUGUGAAAGCCCACGGCUCAACCGUGGAGGGUCAUUGGAAACUGGAAAACUUGAGUGCAGAAGAGGAAAGUGGAAUUCCAUGUGUAGCGGUGAAAUGCGCAGAGAUAUGGAGGAACACCAGUGGCGAAGGCGACUUUCUGGUCUGUAACUGACGCUGAUGUGCGAAAGCGUGGGGAUCAAACAGGAUUAGAUACCCUGGUAGUCCACGCCGUAAACGAUGAGUGCUAAGUGUUAGGG